rnacentral:rRNA from 1 species
GAAGGGAGCUUGCUCCCGGAUGUUAGCGGCGGACGGGUGAGUAACACGUGGGUAACCUGCCUGUAAGACUGGGAUAACUCCGGGAAACCGGAGCUAAUACCGGAUAGUUCCUUGAACCGCAUGGUUCAAGGAUGAAAGACGGUUUCGGCUGUCACUUACAGAUGGACCCGCGGCGCAUUAGCUAGUUGGUGGGGUAAUGGCUCACCAAGGCGACGAUGCGUAGCCGACCUGAGAGGGUGAUCGGCCACACUGGGACUGAGACACGGCCCAGACUCCUACGGGAGGCAGCAGUAGGGAAUCUUCCGCAAUGGACGAAAGUCUGACGGAGCAACGCCGCGUGAGUGAUGAAGGUUUUCGGAUCGUAAAGCUCUGUUGUUAGGGAAGAACAAGUGCGAGAGUAACUGCUCGCACCUUGACGGUACCUAACCAGAAAGCCACGGCUAACUACGUGCCAGCAGCCGCGGUAAUACGUAGGUGGCAAGCGUUGUCCGGAAUUAUUGGGCGUAAAGGGCUCGCAGGCGGUUUCUUAAGUCUGAUGUGAAAGCCCCCGGCUCAACCGGGGAGGGUCAUUGGAAACUGGGAAACUUGAGUGCAGAAGAGGAGAGUGGAAUUCCACGUGUAGCGGUGAAAUGCGUAGAGAUGUGGAGGAACACCAGUGGCGAA